rnacentral:rRNA from 1 species
UUGACCUCAAAUCAGGUAGGACUACCCGCUGAACUUAAGCAUAUCAAUAAGCGGAGGAAAAGAAACUAACGAGGAUUCCCUUAGUAACUGCGAGUGAAGUGGGAAAAGCUCAAAUUUAAAAUCUGGCAGCGUUUGGUUGUCCGAGUUGUAACCUAGAGAAGUGCAGCCUGUGCUGGACCAUGUAUAAGUCUCCUGGAAUGGAGUGUCACAGAGGGUGAGAAUCCCGUGUUUGACAUGGACUGCCAGUGCAUUGUGGUGUGCUCUCAAAGAGUCGAGUUGUUUGGGAAUGCAGCUCUAAAUGGGUGGUAAAUUCCAUCUAAAGCUAAAUAUUGGCGAGAGACCGAUAGCGAACAAGUACCGUGAGGGAAAGAUGAAAAGAACUUUGGAAAGAGAGUUAAACAGUACGUGAAAUUGUUGAAAGGGAAACAUUUAAAGUCAGUUGUGUUAGCUGGGGAUCAACCUGGCUUAUUGCUUGGGUGUAUUUCCUGGGUGACAGGUCAACAUCAGUUCUGACCGGUAGAAAAAAGGCAAGGAAAUGUGGCACCUUUGGGUGUGUUAUAGUCCUUGGCUGUAUCUGGUGGUUGGGACUGAGGGAUGCAGCACACCCACAAGGGCCGUGGCCAGGUCAUUGCCUGGAGACGUUUGUGCUUAGGAUGUUGGCAUAAUGGUUUUAAGUGACCCGUCUUGAAACACGGACCAAGGAGUCUAACAUGCAUGCAAGUGUUUGGGUGGAAAACCCAAGUGCGGAAUGAAAGUGAAAGUUGAGAUCCCUGUCAUGGGGAGCAUUGACGCCCAGACCAGAACUUUUGGGACGGAUCUGCGGUAGAGCAUGUAUGUUGGGACCCGAAAGAUGGUGAACUAUGCCUGAAUAGGGUGAAGCCAGAGGAAACUCUGGUGGAGGCUCGUAGCGAUUCUGACGUGCAAAUCGAUCGUCGAAUUUGGGUAUAGGGG